GGUAAUGUGGCUCAGUGGUAAAGUACUUGUCUAGCAUGCAGGAAGCCCUGGGUUCAAUUCCUUAGUACCA
rnacentral:tRNA from 1 species